CACGUAGGGUGCGAGCGUUGUCCGGAAUUAUUGGGCGUAAAGAGCGCGCAGGCGGUCGAUCAAGUCGAGUGUGAAAGCCCCCGGCUCAACUGGGGAGGGUCAUUCGAUACUGAUCGACUCGAAGGCAGGAGAGGGUAGUGGAAUUCCCGGUGUAGUGGUGAAAUGCGUAGAUAUCGGGAGGAACACCAGUGGCGAAGGCGACUACCUGGCCUGUUCUUGACGCUGAGGCGCGAAAGCUAGGGGAGCAAACGGG
rnacentral:rRNA from 1 species